rnacentral:rRNA from 1 species
AAGGAAUAUUGCUCAAUGGGAGAAAUCCUGAAGCAGCAACGCCGCGUGGAGGAUGAAGGGUCUAUGACUUGUAAACUCCUGUAAAGAAGGAAAAAAUUCCCAUUAGAUGGGAGAUGGUGGUACUUCUGGAGUAAGCCCCGGCUAACUACGUGCCAGCAGCCGCGGUAAUACGUAGGGGGCAAGCGUUGUCCGGAUUUACUGGGUGUAAAGGGUGCUCAGGCGGAUUUGUAAGUCAGAGGUGAAAUCUUACAGCUUAACUGUGAAACUGCCUUUGAUACUGCAAGCCUAGAGUAUGGAAGAGAGUGAUGGAAUAUCUGGUGUAGCAGUGAAAUGCGUAGAUAUCAGAUAGAACACCAAUGGCGAAGGCAGUCACUUGGUCCAUUACUGACGCUAAAGCACGAAAGCGUGGGUAGCAAACA